AUGCCUCUAGUUAAAUGCGGCAUCGACUAUGUCGAAGAAAUCGCAUGUAUAGUUAUGAGUAUGAGUUUUCUACGUAUGUGUCUUGACCAAAUCACGUGCCAGCUGUCGCGGAAAUACGUGGAAGACUAGUGUUAUUCAUCUUUAAUAGGUUUAAAGGGUACUUAGACGGUAAAUUAAGCCCAGAUAAAAAUAAAGGGUACUAAUUAUACUAGAGUUUAAAUGAGAGGGGGGGUGUAGUAGUGGUGUAGAGAUGAAAUUCUGUCAUACCAAGAUGACAGGCAACGGCGCAAGCAACCUUUUAUGUGUAGACUGACGUUAAAGGACGAAGGCUUUGUAUCACCAACAGGAUUAGGUACCCAAGCAGUCUUAGCAGACAAUUCUGAAUGCCAUAGAUAAGAAAAGAUUCUUUUCUCUCUAUCUCUAUUAAUAAAAAGAGAUAGAUGUUAUUUUGUCUAUAAAUGAAAGUGUAAGCAUUCCACCUCAAGAGUAAUGUGGCAACGCAUAAACUGAAAUCAUUAGACCGUUUCUGAAACCAGUAGUGAAGUAUGUUGUUUAAUUUGAUGGUCCGCACAAAACCUCACCACAAUUUGUAUAUUAUUAUCUUAAUACAGGAGUUGCACGGCUGUCUUCAGUUAAUGUCGUGAGAUUUUGGUUAGUUCCAUUAAAUUAACGUAAACCCUUACUUUAUUUAUGUUAUAAAGUAGUUCGCCGCUAUAUUGGAUAUGAU
rnacentral:rRNA from 1 species